rnacentral:rRNA from 1 species
GAUGAACGCUGACAGAAUGCUUAACACAUCAGCAAUUGAUUGGUGGCGGACGGGUGCGUAACGCGUAUAGAACUUGCCUCACAGGUAGGGACAACAUUUGGAACCGAAUGCUAAUACCUAAUCCUGUGAGAGAGCUUUGCGUCCCAUUAUCUAGUUGGAGAGGUAACGGCUCACCAAGGCGAUGAUGGGUAGCCGGCCUGAGAGGGUGAUCGGCCACAAGGGGACUGAGACACGGCCCUUACUGCAACGGGAGGCAGCAGUGGGGAAUAUUGGACAAUGGACCAAAGUAUGAUCCAGCAAUUCUGGGUGUAAAAUGAAGUUUUCGGAAUGUAAAGUGCUUUCAGUAGGGAAGCGGUACCAACAGAAGAAGUAACGGCUAAAUACGUGCCAGCAGCCGCGGUAAUUC